ACCGCUCAAUCGCCAAGGCUAUGAGUCUUGGCGUACCGGGGAACCACUCAUUUUUUCGGAGCUUUCCGAAUGGGGGUGAAUCGCGCUCUCGAUCCGGGUGUUCGCACUCGAAUCGCAUGCGUGUAGGGCCAUUUCUUCCGGCCCGAACCCGACAGCUAACCCGGUCGGCGGUAGAGGGAGAACAA
rnacentral:sRNA from 2 species